CCUACGGGCGGCAGCAGUGGGGAAUAUUGCACAAUGGGGGAAACCCUGAUGCAGCGACGCCGCGUGAAGGACGAAGUAUUUCGGUAUGUAAACUUCUAUCAGUAGGGAAGAAAAUGACGGUAUCUGACGAAUAAGCACCGGCUAACUACGUGCCAGCAGCCGCGGUAAUACGUAGGGGGCAAGCGUUAUCCGGAUUUACUGGGCGUAAAGGGAGCGUAGACGGCCAUGCAAGUCUGAUGUGAAAGCCCGGGGCUCAACCCCAGGACUGCAUUGGAAACUGUGCGGCUGGAGUAUCGGAGAGGCAGGUGGAAUUCCUGGUGUAGCGGUGAAAUGCGUAGAUAUCAGGAGGAACACCAAUUGCGAAGGCGGCUUGCUGGACGACGACUGACGUUGAGGCUCGAAAGCGUGGGGAGCAAACAGGAUUAGAUACCCCAGUAGUC
rnacentral:rRNA from 1 species